UUAAUUUAUGAUGAAUCAAUGCCGCCCCAGUCUGAAAUUCUGACUGAUUGGUUGUUUUCUGAUGUUUU
rfam:Biomphalaria glabrata isolate BB02 unplaced genomic scaffold LGTN_random_Scaffold43, whole genome shotgun sequence.